UACGGAGGAUGCGAGCGUUAUCCGGAUUUAUUGGGUUUAAAGGGUGCGUAGGCGGUAUGGUAAGUCAGCGGUAAAAGCCCGGGGCUCAACCCCGGCGAGCCGUUGAAACUGCCGUGCUAGAGAGGAAGAGAAGUAGGCGGAAUGCGCAGUGUAGCGGUGAAAUGCUUAGAUAUUGCGCAGAACUCCGAUUGCGAAGGCAGCAUACCGGCGGCGAUCUGACGCUGAGGCACGAAAGCGUGGGGAGCAAAUAGG
rnacentral:rRNA from 1 species